UACGGAGGGUGCAAGCGUUAUCCGGAUUCACUGGGUUUAAAGGGUGCGUAGGUGGAUAUGUAAGUCCGUGGUGAAAUCUCUAAGCUUAACUUAGAAACUGCCCUGGAUACUAUAUGUCUUGAAUGUUGUGGAGGUUAGCGGAAUAUGUCAUGUAGCGGUGAAAUGCAUAGAUAUGACAUAGAACACCAAUUGCGAAGGCAGCUGGCUACCCAACUAUUGACACUGAGGCACGAAAGCGUGGGGAUCAAAC
rnacentral:rRNA from 1 species